rnacentral:rRNA from 1 species
GGAAUAUUGCUUAAUGGGCGAAAGCCUGAAGCAGCAACGCCGCGUGUGCGAUGAAGGCCUUCGGGUUGUAAAGCACUUUUUGAGGGGAUGAGGAAGGACAGUACCCUCAGAAUAAGCCUCGGCUAACUACGUGCCAGCAGCCGCGGUAACACGUAGGAGGCGAGCGUUAUCCGGAUUUACUGGGUGUAAAGCGCGUGCAGGCGGUUCAGAAAGUUGGAUGUGAAAGCUCCUGGCUUAACUGGGAGAGGUCGUUCAAUACUUCUGGACUCGAGAGUGGGAGAGGGAGGUGGAAUUCCGGGUGUAGUGGUGAAAUGCGUAGAUAUCCGGAGGAACACCAGUGGCGAAAGCGGCCUCCUGGCCCAUUUCUGACGCUCAGACGCGAAAGCUAGGGUAGCAAAC